UUUUUUUUCUUUUCUUUUUAGAGCUUUACCUGCAGCAUAUGGAGGUUCCCAAGCUAAGGGUUGAAUCAGAAGUGGCAGCUGCCAGCCUACACCACAGCCACAGCAACACAGGACCCAAGCCAUGUCUGCAACCUACACCACGGCUCCCAACAAUGUCGGAUCCUUAACCCGCAGAGUGAGGCGGGGAUCAAAUCCACAUACUCAUGGAUACUAGUGGGGUUUUUAGCCUGCUGAGCCACAACAGGAACUCCUGCUUAUCCAUUCCAAAUGUAAUAGUUUGCAUCUACUAACCCCAAACUCCCCGUCCAUCCCACUUCCUCCCCACUCCCUCCUGCAGUCUUCAGCAAACUUUAGCGGAACCUGCUCCUGCUCAGGAAUCCUGCUCCGGUUCCUGGAAUUUGCCUCUCCUGCUAUUCCUCUAGGUGUGUCAUCCACGUGUAAGCUGACCCUUUGAUCACAUCCUUCCUGUGGGCACAGGAACGACAGUUUCUAAGGCAGGUCUUCCACAUCCAGUGCCUCCAGGGGCCUCAGUAAUAGCCUGGUGAGACCGGUACUGUUAUUCCCCUUGGCCACGUGAGGCUCAGAGAGGGCAAGUGACUGGCCUAGGGUCACACAGCUAGAAACCAUGAGAGGCAGAACUAGAAGUCUGAGACUUUGCUCUGAGUCCAGCACCCUGGCCAGCGCCUGGCACACAGUGUGUGCUUAGCAAGGAAUGGGUAGAUGAAAGGAGUCACUGAGGUUGAAACAGCCCUCCUUCCCCCACCCUGCUCCCCGAGACCAGAAUUUUUUCUGUCUGGGAUCCUGGAGUCUCUUGGGGUCACCCCACAGUCGGAAAUCCCUCUGCGGGGAAGAGAAGAGGGAAGGGGAAUGGCACCCUCUGCCUGGUCCACUCCCACACGAUGCCAGCCCCCAGCGGGCCAGUCCCCACGUCCCCCAGUUUCUCCAGCUGACUUGGCUGCCAUCCACCCAGGAUAACCCCGCUCUCUCCUCAAUCACAGGCCAAGAUCACCCCAUGAUAAGGCCCAGUUGGGAGCACCCUCGCCCCAGGGAGAUGGCGCGAUAGCGGGGCUGUGUUUUACAAGCUCACAAAUCCCCGAUAAGAAGAGCUGGCCAGUUGGCUGGUUCCAGCGAGAUAAGGAAACGGCCUCCACUCCCGCCCCCAGGGCUCACGAGCACCCACAGGGGAUACCGACGGGGCCAGAUCUAUGUCUGAUGAGCUAUGAACUAUGUCUUGCUCUGGCCCCCGUGAACCCCCACUGCCCCAGCAAGAUGGACAGCAGCAAACCACAGGACGGGAUUACGGGCCCCGCUGUGCGGAUGUAAAGGGGCUGAGCCACUUGGUCCUUGUGAUGUUCUCAGCCAGGGGUCAGCCCCCAAGGACUUGGGUAUUUACCAAACACCAACUGUGUGCUGGGACUGGGCUAAGCACAACACACACACACACAUUACACUACGCUCACACCAUUGCCAUGCUUGCCUCCAGCAACCCUGGGGCAGGUGUGCUUGCAUCCCCAUGUUAUAGAUGAGAAACCAGAUACAGAGAUGCAAACACGUGUCUGCUGCAGGUUGGGCUCCGGGGACCAGACCAUGACACAGAACUGCGUGCAGGGUGAUUUCUGGGGUUGUCAGGUCGGCACUCGUGGGGGAAGGGCAAGCAGAGGGACUGCGUGCCCCUCAGGGCCCACUGGGGCUCUGGAGCUGAGCUGACCCUUUGGAGCUGCUCCAAAUUGAGGCAUAAGGACAGGGCUCUUGGACCCAUCAAGCAGCCAUUGGAUGGAGUGAAGCCAGGGCUGCAGCAGGGGCGGCUGGGGGUGGGGGUAUGACCUUGGGUUAGGCAAUGGCCUUCAAGGGCAGUUCCUGAAGAGGCUCAACUGUGAGCGGCACCUGGGAGAAUGAGUGGCGGGUCACACGGUCACUCAGUGUGAGCUGGGAGUGGAACCCAGGUCUGCCCAACCCCAUCUACCCUCCAAAGUAUAUAGAUCUUCUUGUUGAAUGGACUUGGGAUUGAAAUUUAGUUUUCUGCUCCUUUCAGGGAGAGAGAGAGAUUUAUAGAAUAAGUAGGAGCUAUUUGCCUCAAAGUUAGAAGACCUGGGUUUCUAGGCUUGGCUCUGCCACUGCCCAGCCCUGGGCCUGAAUUUCUGGUUAAGUGCUGGGGGGCAGGGUAGAGACCCAGCUGCUCCCCAUGUCCCUCUGGGCUCUGACGCUGAGGUUCUCUGGUCUGAUCCUCACCCAGGGUGAACCAGGGGUGGCACCAGCUCAUCUCUGACUCUUGCAGGGAUCAACUCCUCACCCCUGAAGCAGCAGCUAGCCAGUGGGAGCCCCAUGUCCCCAGCCCCAAAGGCCAGGCC
ensembl:lncRNA